GCACAAGCGGUGGAUGAUGUGGAUUAAUUCGAUGCAACGCGAAAACCUUACCUACCCUUGACAUGUCCGGAAUCCCGAAGAGAUUUGGGAGUGCUCGCAAGAGAACCGGAACACAGGUGCUGCAUGGCUGUCGUCAGCUCGUGUCGUGAGAUGUCGGGUUAAGUCCCGCAACGAGCGCAACCCUUGUCAUUAGUUGCCAUCAUUUGGUUGGGCACUCUAAUGAGACUGCCGGUGACAAACCGGAGGAAGGUGGGGAUGACGUCAAGUCCUCAUGGCCCUUAUGGGUAGGGCUUCACACGUCAUACAAUGGUCGGUACAGAGGGUUGCCAACCCGCGAGGGGGAGCUAAUCCCACAAAGCCGAUCGUAGUCCGGAUCGCAGUCUGCAACUCGACUGCGUGAAGUCGGAAUCGCUAGUAAUCGUGGAUCAGCAUGUCACGGUGAAUACGUUCCCGGGUCUU
rnacentral:rRNA from 1 species